rnacentral:rRNA from 1 species
GACGAACGCUGGCGGUAUGCUUAACACAUGCAAGUCGAACGAGAACGGAUUAUAGCUUGCUAUAAUUGUCAGCUAAGUGGCGCACGGGUGAGUAAUGUAUAGGUAAUAUGCCUCUUACUAAGGGAUAACAAAUGGAAACGUUUGCUAAUACCUUAUACUCCUUAUUAACAGAAGUUAAUAAGGGAAAGAUUUAUUGGUAAGAGAUUAGCCUGUAUUGUAUCAGUUAGUUGGUGGGGUAAUGGCUUACCAAGACUAUGACACAUAACUGGUUUGAGAGGAUGAUCAGUCACACUGGAACUGAGACACGGUCCAGACUCCUACGGGAGGCAGCAGUGGGGAAUAUUGCACAAUGGACGAAAGUCUGAUGCAGCAACGCCGCGUGGAGGAUGACACAUCUCGGUGCGCAAACUCCUUUUAUAUGAGAAGAUAAUGACGGUAUUAUAUGAAUAAGCACCGGCUAACUCCGUGCCAGCCGCCGCUGUAA